CCUGCGGAGCCAGGAUGAGUCGGCAAAACGCCGCAGUGCGCGGCUGCCCCGGCCCCGUGGGAGCCUUUGCCGGGAUGGCCAGGGAGGUGAUACUAAUACCGACAGGAGCCAAAGGACGAAAGCUGGCGCCGGCAGACACUCUUUCCGCACUCUUUGCGUGUGUAUUAACUUAUUUAAACCUCCAAACAACCCCGCCAGAUAGGUGUGGCCAUUAUCCCCCUUCUACAGAGAAGUAGACUGAGGCGCGGCGAGCUUUAAAUGAUUUGCCCGAGGUCGUGGAGCCAGUUAACGUGGCCGAGCCCGGGUUCAGCUCCAGGCUGCCCCUCCAGAUUGCAUUUUGUGCUUCACUGCUGGCUGCCUCUGUGCAGCCAAAGUAAGUGUCACGAGGAGCCUUCUGGAAUGCUGCUGACAAUGUGUGGGCACUGCCCCAGACACGCGGACUGUCUCAUCGCAUCCUCGCUGCACCACUACGAUGCAGGCGUUGAGGCCAGAAUUAUUGCACUGCUUUUCCAAGGCGACCUGCACAGAGAAGAGCACCGUGUCACUUCUGCGAUGUUCCUGCCAAAGACGCAAAACCUAAAUCUGAUCAGGAGGAGCGACUGGACGAACUCCAAGUGAGGAAACUUCUACGAAAUAACUGGCCUGUAAUCUUGGGAGACACAGAAUCCGAAGCAGCUCCAGGCUCUGAGCUGUCAGCACAGAGCCUGACGCCGGGCUCGCGCUCACAAACUGCGAGAUCAUGACCCGAGCUGAACUCGGACGCUUAACCAACUGAGCCACCCACGUGCCCCUUACCUCCAUAUUUUUUAAAAAGCAAGGUGCAGAACAGCUUCUUUAAAAAAAAAAAGGGAUGGAAAUCUGGACACAGACACACAAGGAGGACGCCGUGUGGCAAUGGAGGCUGAGACUGGAGAGCGGGGCCUACAGGUCGACGAGGAUGCGGGCCAACUCCUGCAAGGAGCUGGGAAGCAUCCGAGCACUGCCCUGCUGACACCUUAAUAUUGAACUUGCAGCCGCAGAACCGGGAGAGAAUAGGUUUUUGUUGCCUUAAACCACCCGGUUUGUGGGUGUUUGUAACUUCAGCCUUGGGAAACUAUAUACACAGUAAGCCAGUCAACACCCAAGACAAUUAUGGGUAGUGACAAACACUUCGGUAAAAUAAAACAAAACACGGAAACAGGGCAUGUGACGGGGAGCAGCGCCACCUUAGCCCCAGGGGUCAGGGAAGGCCUCUUGGAGGAGGUGAUGUUUCAGCGGAGGUGCUGGGGGCAGGUGGGAGGCUUGGCCGGGUCAAACAGCUACGAUGCAGGCCUGACAAUGGCGGACACCUUGUUGGGGUCUUUGGGGGAAGGUCCCGGGAGUGACCAGGAAGGGACUGUCCUGUCUCAGAGCCUGCUGCGUGGCUGAUGCGGGUCACCCAUCGUCCUGGGCCGGCUGGCAGCCAAUGGAGGAGGCCAGCUUCACAGCUGACACUCUGCGCUGUAAUUGUGAUUAACUAUCGGGCCCUCUUCCCUGCUCAGGCCCGAGGCCGCGGUGUGACAGCUGCAGAGUGAAGCAAUGAGGCCAGGAAGGGGUUAAUGGGCUGUCCCUCCAUCUGAGCCCUUCACACAAUGAGGGGAGGUGGGGAGGCUUCUGGUGGGGGUGUGUGUGGCAUCAGCUGGGGUGAGUGAAUGGAAGGGACAGAGGCCUUGUCCCCGGGGACAGGGCGAGGACUCUAUGGGGAGAGGGGUCAGAACCCUCCCCCCUGCUGUUAUUUUCAUCCGUCCCUCUCCCCCCCCCCGCCCUCCCCCCACCAGCCAGAGUGUCCCAGAAGACUGCCCUCUGGGUUCCAAAGUGGGCAGCGUCCUCAGCCUCAUGGAAUUCUGAAGCCUGAAAGCCACAGAAAUGCAGAAUCGUGAAAUGUCACCGCCAAGGGGGACCUCACUUAUUCCUGCCGUGUUCAAACUUUGUUUGCUUAAUUAUUAGCAGUGGAACCCAGAGCCCCCACCCCCACCUCCUUUUCUCCCCCAAAUAAGUAAACAGCGUGUUGAUUACAUGGAGGGCGGCCUGGAUGCCAGCCGAAAUCAUUCGUCCCCAGUGCUGCCGCUUCCAACCGGGGCACACUGGGGCAGCCAUGACAGACGUCUCCGUUAUGCGACCCCCGUCACCCCUGUCUGCAGCCUUUUGAGUCUGGCUUCCUUCACUCGGCAGGAGGCAUUUGGGCUUCAGCCGCGUUACAUUUAUCAGAAGUCUGUUCGUUUUUAUUGCCACCCCGUAGUCCAGCCAGCGGUUGCACAGCACCUUCUUUAUCAUUCACCAGUUGAAAGGCACUUGGGUCAUUUCCAGCUUUUGGUGAUUGCAAAUAAUGCCGCCGUGAAUGUGGGCACACAGGUCGUCGCGCAGACGGAAGGUUUCGUUUUUCUCGGGUAGAGAUCUAGCAGUGGAGUCACUGGGUCCCAGCCUAAGUAUAUUUACAAUGCUACAAGGAACCGAUGAACUUUUCCAAAGAGGCGGCGCCCUUUCGCAUUCCCGCCAGCACCUGGGAUUGUCAGGUCAAGAGAAAGUGUAGGUCGAGUGCAUGAGUGGGUAAUGAUCACGGGGUUAUUGUGAGGAUUAAGUGAGCGCGUUGCCCAGAGAAGGAGGCCUCUCACGAUAAUAGGUUCUCCCCGGAACUGUCAGCUCCUUCUUUUGUUAUCACCGCGGGGAAGCCGGGACAUAAUGGGAGCUAGGGAAC